AAAAAUUGGAGGGGAAAAAAAAAAAAGAAAAAAAGAAAAAAAAAAAAAAAAGCUUGAAAUAGAUUGGUUUUGCUGAUUAAAAAAUAAACAAAUGAGGAGAUUGCUCUGGUUUCGUGCUAUCAGCUGCAUGGCAAAUGUGCUGUGAUGUGGCAGCUCCACAAGGUGCUGCUGUGAGAACAGCUGGCUGCAGGCAACGUUAGGAGCUGACAGGAGGUUUUAAAGAGUUUCCCUGCUCCAGCUUUGUAGUAGGAAUGAGGAAAAAAGAUGAUGAGGUGGUUCCUUGUCAGCAUUUCCCAGGACUGGUGCCUGUCCCUUGCCAUACGUAUGUGGGGCUGAGGUUCCUUUGAAGUGAAGAUAGAGUCAAGGAGGGGGGAGAACAUGAGGAAAUGAUGUUUCCCCUCCCUGCCAAGCUUGUUUGAAAUUCAGCACUUCACUUUCCAAACCAAACUGUGUGAGCUGUGGCUGGGUGACAGAAAAUCCCCAUCCGAAGCAGGAGGAGAGAGGUUUCUGCCGCUGCGUCCAAGCUCUCCCCGUGUGAGUGAGACCUGGCAGCCGUACAGCUCCGGCUGGAAACGAUGCUUUGGCAGCUCUCAGCCCCAACAAAUUACCAGCUCUGCAGAAAGCAGCAAGUAACGAGGAGCUACAAGGAAAAAAUGGGAAUUAUGAGAACAGAGCGAUCCAAACCUUUGGCAAAUGAUAGAGAAAACCACUCUUUCAUCUUCCACCUUUUUUUUUUUCCUUACCUCUGCCCUCCCGAAGCAAGAGACUCGAAUUCAAACACUUCCAUGUGAAUGUCUUUCUUCUGCAGAGCCUGAAUGAACUCCAGAUACUUCUCACCCACUUUGUAGGGCUUGCAGACCUCGGCCAGGUGCUGGUAUCCCACCGGGAUGUGCUCUGACUGAGUCUGCCGCUGCUUAAACAUCCUUAACGUGACCUUACAAGGGAAAAAAAUAAAAUAAAUGGCAUUGCAUUACCCA